AUUAUGCUAAGAAAAACGAACCCAAACACAGACUUGCAAGACAUGGCCUGUCUGAGAAGCAGCCAGAGAAGGGAGGCGAGAACAGAAGGGAGAAACUCAGGGGGCUGCAAGGGCCAGCGCUGGUGCUGGGAAAAGCAGCUGGAGGCUGGGCAGCAGAAGAAAUAGAUUCUUCGGUGACUUUCCGCAGUGACUACGCAGGUUUUUCCUGAGAGGAUUCAUAAACUAACAACUUUGGAAGAAAUUAAGGUCCACUGCACUCUAUUAUCACCUUAAAGAAAUACCUGUGUUUUUUUCAUCUUUCUAUUCCUAAACCUAGAACAUAGUAAGUGAUCAACAAAAGACUGGGAAUUGAAUGACUAUAACUAAGAAUUAUCUUUUGAAAGAUAGAAUCUUGAUAUGAUUAAUUCGAAAACAGUAACUUUACUACCUGAAUAAUGCUGAACAUAGAUUGUAUUACC